rnacentral:rRNA from 1 species
UGGGGAAUAUUGCACAAUGGGCGCAAGCCUGAUGCAGCGACGCCGCGUGAGGGAAGAAGGUUUUCGGAUUGUAAACCUCUGUUAAGUGGGAAAAAAUACCGAUGGUUAAUACCCAAUCGGGGAUGAUGGUACCACUAGAGAAAGUACCGGCAAACUUCGUGCCAGCAGCCGCGGUAAUACGAAGGGUACGAGCGUUAUUCGGAGUUACUGGGCGUAAAGAGCGUGUAGGCGGUUAGUUAAGUUAGAUGUUAAAUUCCCCGGCCUAACCGGGGAUCCGCAACUAAAACUGGCUGACUAGAGUACAAGAGAGAGAAGUAGAAUUCCCGGAGUAGCGGUAAAAUGCGUAGAUCUCGGGAGGAAUACCGAUGGCGAAGGCAGCUUCUUGGCUUGUAACUGACGCUAAAGCGCGAAAGCGUGGGGAGCAAACAGG